GGCGGCGGCGCGCUCCCGUUCCUCGGGGUGCCCCGUGCCGGGAGCGGCGCGCCGGCCGUCGGUGGCUCCUGCUCUCCGUGACGGUCAGUUGGUCGCGCUGCCGCUUUGUUCUGCGCUUAGCGAGGACGCGCCGGGCUCCGCGCUGCUCCCGCCGAGGGUGCCGUGGAGUCUCUGUCAGUAUUCUGCAGACGGCCUUUACGGCUCCUCCAUCAGGGACGUCAGAUCCCAAGGGCAGCGGUUGCAGGCUGACGGAGCGGAGUUCUGCGGGGGGCCUCAGGCCGAAGCUCCGUGUUCUGAGGCAGCGCGGUUUCCCAGCCGCUCCCGUCCGUGCGUGCACAGCUUUGCCACUGUGGCACGCAGCACAGGCUGGGGGAGCGCUGUGUAGAAGCCUCUAAUUCUCGGCUUAGUCCUUCCCCACCCCUUUAAUGGUGAAUGGGCCGCUGCUAUGGAGACGCCAAGCUUAGCUCAAAAUGGCUAAUAAGGCGAAUUGGAAAGAGAAGCGUGGCCAGUGCGAUCGGGGGAAGGGAAGAGGCCCUUUUUGCCUGUGCCGUAUGAGAUGCAGCCAGGAGAGAGGGAAGGGCGGCAGCCACCCACGUACAGAGGUACGCUGAUGUGCUGUGAGGUGGAGAACGUAUGGGUCAGCUCAGGAGAUGUAUUCUCCUUCUCCCCUCAGUGCCAUUUUAUUCUUUGAGAAAUCUCGCAGCCAAAGCUAUAGAUGCAGGCAAAACGCACAACUUGUUUUCUUUUUGAACAGCAGAACAAAGGAAACACGGGGAUAAAGGCACUGCUCGAGGUGCAUCCUGAGGAUCAAAAAGGCCGGCGCUGCGGCUGAGCGCUUCAGGUCAUUUCAGUGAGUGAGGAGCCUCCUCUGCUCCCCCAGCAGCGGCCUCACCAUGAGGGGCUGUAAUACCCAGGCUCUGCACUGCAAAGAGUGUUGGUAAGGGGUUGUCAUGAGGAGAUGGGCACUGACCAUCCCAGCAUGCCUUAUGUCUUCAAGGAGCCAUUACUGCUCUAUCCCUUGGGUAUGCAGUUGUUAUCUUAAAAACAGAGGAAGGUUGACAUGGACUGUAACUGCUGGCUGGACUAGGAGUAUUAUCCCACCUAAAAAUAUCUUGGCAGCUAGAUUUUUUGUUUUUAUCAGUGGGAAUUGUAUGGCAUGUCUUUUACACAAACUUCAGUGCUGGGAAUACUUCCUGAACUGACUAUCAAUAACGUAAACCAAAUGCAUCAGAGGAUAAAAUAAGGGGGGAAACCCAUCAGGGUUAAAAAUCAGAGGUGUGAUUAUAUGCUUACAAAAAAGUUUAUGCUGGUGUAUAGGUAAAGCAUUCAAUGCACUGUUGUCACACAGUCCAGCAGAGGAAUUAUAGGUUAAUUGUACUUUUUUUUUUUAAUUAUCUACUAUUUGUUUCUACGAUUUAGAGGAAGAGCUUUCAUCUCCCUAAGCACAAAGCAAGUAAAAUAUAAGAACUUCCAAGUGGCAGCCUAGACUAUUUAAUGAAUAAAAACAUUGCUAUAAGAUUACCAUUUAUUUGAGGUAUCAGUGCCACGUAACCCUGUGUCUUGAUUAUUUCUAGACAUGCAAGCACACCCACAUGUGGUCCUGAGUGACACCAUUCAUGUGACCACAGCAAGCAAGUUAUUUGCUUUUCCAAUACAAUAGGUCAUAGGCCAUUUAUCACAGCUCUAGCUUUUUCUCUGCCCUAUUCUUAAAGUCAUAUUUGAAUUCUAGAAUUUUCAUAAGCAGAUUAACUUCUCACACCAUUCUGAGUUUAUCAGCAUGCUAGGUUUUGUAAGGUUUUCUUGUUUGCUUUUAUUGCCUUUCUGUAUGUAUCGUUUCUGAUUUCUUUCCUUUUUCCUCUUCAGCUUGCCUUUAUAAAUUUCUUCAGUAUUUCUCAUCUUUGUUGUUGAAUUCCCCUUGGGAUGAAUCCCUUUUUUCCUUGUGCUUCCUUUUUUAAACCUCCUUUGCUUUUUGCAUUAACAGUUAUUUCUUUGAAUAUACAUUAGGUAUAGAUAAAAAUUAAGCCCUGUGUGGCACAAACAUAUUAUCAAUGUAGAUGCAAAGAACGACUGUAGCUCAGUGUUAACAGGUCAUAGAAGACAAAGGCUUUUUCUAAUACCUAGAUUGUGGCAGGAGCCUAUCUGCUGGUGAAUCUCUGUCCUUUGUUACCACGUAGCACUACAAAUCUGAAGCCCAGUAAAAGUGGAGGACAUCCUCCUCAAUUUCUACCUUUUCCUGACAAAGCUUGUCAUCUACAGUACUAUAGGAGAAAUUUCCACUGGCAAGGGUGACACUAAGGUUGGUUUUUUUUUCGUCAUUCCUCAUCUCAGGUAGUCAUAAGCAGUAGUCAGUGAUUUGUGGGUUCUUCUUAAUGAACUUUUAAUCACCGCCUCCUGAUUACGAAUAGUUUUUUUUAUGUAAGCGCUGGUAGAGGCAGAAAUAAAAGCAGGCAGCUCCUCGAUUAAACAGGAGAAGGCGGUGCUGAGGUUCCUGGUGCUCAGCACACAGAGGAAUGGAAAUGCUCUAGCCAUGGGCUGAGGAAAUGGACUCACUGAGUGCUGUUGGAGCAGGAGCAAGGUUGAGAGCUUCUCCGGCUUUGUUUGCAAUUUUUCUGAGCAUCAUUUGUACAGGGAGAGGUAACAGGAACACUUACCUGUUCAGAUCAAUUUCAGUCAUGUUUUCUCUGAUGUGCAGGGCUGACACAAUGCAUAGACAGAUCCCUCAAGUCAGCAUUCCCUUAAGCACAGAACCUCGCUGCACAUAUAUUUCUGUUGGCAGUUUCGUCCCUACCUGGAAGCACGAAGGCAGAUUGUGGCAAGAAUUGACUUGCUGCUUGGUGUGUACUCAGCAGCAGGGUUUUCCUGAAGUACAUCCUAUGUCUUGCUUGGGUGACACAGGUCUUAGCUGGCCCAGUUUUCUAGCUCUUUUGCUUCCCUGUCUUUUGCUCUUGCUGUCCUCUUACAUGUACUUUAUUUUGCGUUCUUCCCUAUCUUGCUUGCCACAUUGUCCAUUUCCAUUCAAGUUCCCUUCUCAGGAACUUGUUCACCACCAUCAGUAUUCCUUUCCCUGUACAAACUGUCAUUCCCAGCUGUCAUUCAUCACUGAGGAACCUGUUGUUCCUAGCAGUCCUUCCUUCUAGUAUCAAAAGUAGUAAAAGCAGCCCCCCCCCCCCCCAAGCUUCGUGUUUCUUAAGAGAAAUGUUACCACUUCCUCUGUAAGGUAAUAGCAUCUCAGAUCAUUUAAGACAAUGAUAUAUUUUAGUCUGGUUACUGAAUGGUAACUUUUGUAUAUUGGAUCUGAAAUGGUCAUCUUGGAAAUGGUGAUGUACUAUUAACUAAGAAUUGUUUUAUUUUCUGCCUAAUUUUACUGCCCUUUCGAGGGUAUAUUAAUUCAGUUACCCAGGGGACUGUAAAGAAAGUGAAAAAUAGCUGCUCAAGAGAUAUUGCUUUCAGCUAUUUAGCAGUGUUACUAAAGUUACUGCUUUCAUUUAUUUCAGCAAGCUUUUAUUUUAAUCACUUGCAAUGCCUUACAUCUAUUCUCCAUUUUAUUAAUUAGUUCCUAUUUUUAUAAAAAUAACAUCACUGGUAUUUAGUUUGUAUUUCAAACUUAAAUACAUUUCAUCUUGAAGCCUUCGAAACUGGUGUUUUUUGGGGGGAAAAAAUCAUACUCCUUUCUUUCUGAAUUAAAAUGGGACACGUGUCAUACCUCUUCAUAUAAUUGUUUUUCUUUCUUUGUAGCUGGGAAGAGUUUAAACAGGAUGUUUCCCAUGUGGGUAGUCCUACUUGCUGGAGAUUGGUUCACAAGUAAAUGAAUAUGGUUGCACUUGCUUGUUGACGUACCAUACCUUUCUAUGAGUCAGUAAAAUACCUUAAGAGCUCCUACAUUCACCACUGCUGGUAAUAUUUCACCUUAUUUUCUUGGAGGAAGCUUCCCCAUGGAGCAACUGUAGUAAAUAUAUUAAUACUAUUCUACUGUGAGCACGGCCUUUUCAUUCUCUUGAUCUCGUCUCAUUGGGAAAACAGCAGCAGGUGACACCAUGUACCAAACAGUGGUGGUGACAGGUGAGUAGCUGGCAUGCUGCUGGAGGAAUAGCUCACCUGAAAGCUUGUACUGAUGCUUUGAGACUUUAGGGUGAUCCAGGAGCUGUUUUCAAGCUUUUUUGCAGCUACCUGAAGAAGUCCAGUGUAGUCUAGCUGUCUAGUCCCUGUACACAUUGUCAGUAACCUAAUAAGCAUGUUCUCCAGUAGAAGUAUUCAGAUUUUCAUGUUUUUGAUGGUAUUUUUAAAUGUUCUUUUAUUCUCUUAAUUCUGUCUUUCUCUUCACAUUCUUCUGCCACACCUUUACAAUAUUAUACACUGAGUCCUGUAGCCUUCACCUCUUCUAAGGGGAUUACAGGAAAAAUAAACAAGAAAGGGUCAGGAAAAGAUGUUAAGAAUAGGAAACAAAGAGAUGUUAGUAAAGCUAAGGGAGUUGGGGGGGAGGAAAAAAGUGCAAGGUUUAGUAUUUCACUGAGUUAGAUCAGAAUUAUGCUUGACGGAGAAAAAAUGCACCAGCCAGGAUUAGCAGAACAGAGAAUUGAAUUACUGAACUGUUAAGUCCCUUUAAACUUUCUGUCAGCUAAAUGUAGUACACCAGCCACAAGAGAUCAAUGACAAAUGCUUAACAGCACACCACUGUAUAAUAAAAGCAUCUGAAGCGUUGGACAUUGUCUGCAGGUAAACCUAAUUAUGUUUUAAACUGAAAACUUCCCAGUGUUCUGAAAUAAGUUCUCUACUUAAUCAGUCCAUCCUCAAAAUAAAUUCCAACUACUCCUAAUUUACACAGUGUUUAGAUACCUUGCACAGGAAAAGUGCAAAACAAAAUCAAAUUAAGUUGCAGACGUUACGACCGCUGUGAUUCCCAUAAUAAACUGUAUUCCUUUGUUUCUUGCAUACAGGUGACGUACCCCCAGUGAAUUAUUCAUCCAGUAGUGCAGUUUCAGUAUUUUAUUCUGAAAGCCUCUGACUAGCUAGUUUAAAACAAGCGAACAGAUAAAAUGUAAAGUGUUCUUUAUUAAAUAACUUCAAAGGUAAAGCAUAUUGUGCGACUAAGAGAGACAAUACUAUGGUUCCAAAGGAUUUUUACAACAGAAAACAAAUUGCAACAAAUAAGCAUUUCAGUCUAGCAGCCAAAUUGUCCUCAUUACAAUGGA